UACGGAGGGUGCGAGCGUUGUCCGGAAUCACUGGGCGUAAAGGGCGCGUAGGUGGCGCCGCAAGUCAACGGUGAAAGCUCGACGCUUAACGUCGAGUCGGCCGUCGAGACUGCGGGGCUCGAGCACUGUAGAGGCUCAUGGAAUUCCGGGUGUAGCGGUGGAAUGCGUAGAGAUCCGGAAGAACACCGGUGGCGAAAGCGGCGCACUGGACCAUAACUGACGCUGAGGCGCGAAAGCUAGGGGAGCAAACAGG
rnacentral:rRNA from 1 species